CUUAGUCAUUCAAACUGAGAAUAACUGGGAGAAUGGAAUUUGGAUUCAGUUCAAUUUAUUGUCAUUGUCUUCAAUUAAAGACAACAAAAUACUAUUUUCCUUAGUCAUACAAAUU